CCCGAAGCUGCGGGGAGGAUGCGGGAAGGGAAACGCUUCUCCCACCCUGUUCCUGUAACGGGGUUCCGGCUACAGGGACCGCGGGAGGGAGCCUUUUGCCGAGUGAGGGAGAAGAGGCGGUUGGGACUACUUGGCGUUCCUGCCACGGCCUCGGCGGAAGGAGCGCGUUUAAGCGAGAGGCUGUGCCGUAGUGCGGCUCUCCUCAGCGCUUCCUGGAAACUCCCGCUUAGGAGCGAGGGGGGGCGGGAGCGAAAGAGUCCCAGGCCGGGAAUGGGAGGGGGGGCAGGGCACAGCCCCCUCCCCGUGCCCGGACGCCCUCCGAGCCCGCUGACACCCGUCAGACCGACCCUCACCCCCUCUUCCUGUGCAGAUGGAACAGGGAGAAGAGGAUGAGGCAUAAAGAGGAGGAACUCACCCAGGUCCCACCUGGCAGUGCAGAAGGAACCAGAAUUACCAGCCCUCGCUCUGCCUCGCCCAGGGUGUGCCCUGAUGGAGACAAACUGCCGGACAUUUUCUCCAAGCACACAGGUGCUGCUGCACAGGUGAGAAGCAAAGGUUUCUAACACCAUCUGCUGUUUAAAAGGAAGAUGGCAUUGGAGCUCAGCAGCACUGAGAGCUUGUUUGAUAAACCAGGCACAACACCAGCGAAUUUGGAACGUUUCUGUAAUUUCCACAAUUCCUUUUUUAAAUUAUUUCAAGCCCUGAACAUAUUUUGACUUGAUCUUUAUUAUGAAGUGAAUUAUUUCUUUGCUAGAGGAAGCAGAAUCCCAGUGAGCAGCAGUCGAAUGUCAGGUCCACAACACUUCAUUUUUCAUUCCCAGCCAUGCAGCUGUGUCAUUUCAGCACCAACACAAAUUUCAAGCAGUGUCACUCUCUCCAAAGCUUGGCCCGAAGAACCAACUUAAAAAUGUUCUCAUAGGAGAGACCCAUGGUUGCCCUGGGGUAUGAGGAGCUCAAAGCAAAUAAUUCUUUCCAUUAAAAAUAAAAAUAUUGACCUUUUGCUGUCUCACACUGCUGCCUGUAGGACAGAAUAAACUCUCUAACCAAGGAUUCUUCUGGUGCUUCCUAAUUGAAAGAGAUACAAACUUUUGUCCCAGGAAAAACAACAGAACCCAGGAGCUCAUUACAUAUUUAAAUUGAAGGGCUCACAACUACUGCUCUUAGUUUUGGUUGCAGAUAUUUAUAAUAACAAUUUUUUCUAAAACAAAAAGACUUUUCUCUAAAGGGGUCCUUGGCCAUUCACCCUGAGACAAGCAGGGAUUUAGGAAAAAACCACCCAAAACCUCAAAAUCUAACACCAAACAGAGGUCGCAGCUCUGAGAUUCUUCUCCAGUCUGAUCCAAUCAGCCCAGUUACAGCAUCACCCCCACCUCUUGCAUUUCUCACCCCUCCACACAUCAUUUAAAGUCAGUGGCUCCUUUUGUGAGCAGUCGGCUCCUCACCCUGGCACUUUCCCUGCACUUCGACAAAAGAGACCUUUUACAUGUCAAUUUAUUUUCAGACAAGCAUAUCUGAAAGGGAGUUUCCCUCCGGAGUCGAAUUAGUAUUAAUGGCAGGUGUUCAGUGGCACACAAAGGGAGGGAGGCUGAACUGAGGCACUAAGACAGCUUGAUGUUUUAAUAACCAGACGCAAGGAAUGGAGUGGCAGCAGACCUGCGGCUUCCCCGGCGUGAGUGAAGGUUUUAUUCAGAGCCCCCAUGUACUGCUGAAAGAAGACCUUGAAAUAUUUUAAAUGUUUUCUUUGCCUUGAAAGAGGGAUUAAAUUGUUGAAUAUUCCAUGAAAGCGCAGCAUCCACCCCACAUCCCGUGGAACUCACUCGCAGUCACCGAGUACUUCCGAAGCCUCCCGCAGCCUUGGGAAGCAGCUGUGGCCACCACGAAGAGGUGGUGGCACCCAGGAGGCCUCCAGCUACACAGUUCACCAUCCACCAGUGCCUAGAGAUGCUAAAAAAAGAAUUACAUGGACUAACUCAAAGGUGGGAACUUGGAGAAGGAUUUGCAUUAAAGUUUAAAAAGUUAAAACCACAGAUCAGUUGUUCAGUGAAGUUUCACUAUGAAAAAGAAUGAGAAGAUGAUUGCUGGGAAUGCUACUGGCCUUCAGUUUUAAACUGAAUCUUGAUGGGAAUAUUUCCAGGCCAAAAGAUAUUUAUUGAUGACCUGGUGAAUUUGACAGAGGUCAGCAAGGGAAAGGCACAGCUACACAGUGGGAAAGAAGGGAAAUAUCUUCUCAGCUGGGUCAGCCCCUACAACAGAAAAAUGGCUGAUUUAUGCCCCAAAAUAGGAAAAUUUAACCUUUGUUAUACAGAAACAGUACUAUAUAGAGCUGUUCAAUAUUAUUUUCGGGCUCAUUGACUUUGGAUCAAUAUGCUUUUUCUGCAGAGGUUAUUUCCAGGUAGAUUCAGCAGUUUGAGGCUGGAUUCCGGGAUUUCUGCUCCCUUGAGCUUUCAUUCAGACCUACAGGACAAAAGCUUAAAGAUCAAAUCCACUACUAAAUACCUGAACUAACACAAAUAGCUUUCCUUGUAAAGAUGUCCUUAUGUAUGGAAGUUAAAUCCAUUUUUUCCCCUCUUAAAACCAAGACAAUUUGUGAUACCCUCUGCAUCCUCUUUGUCCCAAGUUACAGCUGAAUGACUCCAAACUCCUGUAAGAGCAAAUCACUUGGUCUCUCACCCCCCACAGUAGGCAUUAGAUACCCAACUUUCACCUCAAAUAAUGCAAUUUCAGUUAAUAUGACAACAGUAUUUUGGCAAAGGUCAGGACAAAACCAGAAAAGGAAGGAGAAACCCAACCCAUCACAAACACCUACACCUCUCAUAUACAGAAAAUUCACAAGUCCAAUUUUAUUGAGCACUGGAAUGAAAAAAGUAACAGCACUUGGUUGAUCUGGAACUAAAAAUCAAGACUUAUUUUUACUUAUGGAUAAUUCAG